rnacentral:rRNA from 1 species
CACGGAGUUAGCCGGGGCUUAUUCUCCCGGUACAGUCAUUAUCUUCCCGGGUAAAAGGGCUUUACAACCCUAAGGCCUUCAUCACUCACGCGGCAUUGCUGGAUCAGGCUUUCGCCCAUUGUCCAAUAUUCCCCACUGCUGCCUCCCGUAGGAGUCUGGGCCGUGUCUCAGUCCCAGUGUGGCUGAUCAUCCUCUCAGACCAGCUAAGGAUCGUCGCCUUGGCAGGCCUUUACCCCACCAACUAGCUAAUCCUACGCGGGCUCAUCUCAGGGCGAUAAAUCUUUGGUCCGAAGACAUCAUACGGUAUUAGCAGUCAUUUCUAACUGUUAUUCCGUACCCCAAGGCAGAUUCCCACGCGUUACGCACCCGUGCGCCACUAUCACCGAAGUGAUCGUUCGACUUGCAUGUGUUAGGCAUGCCGCCAGCGUUCGUUCUGAGCCAGGAUCAAACUCU